rnacentral:rRNA from 1 species
UUGCUAUUUUUAUGAAGAGCGGCGAACGGGCUGAGUAACGCGUGGGAAAUCUGCCGAGUAGCGGGGGACAACGUUUGGAUACGAACGCUAAUACCGCAUAACAAUGAGAAUCGCAUGAUUCUUAUUUGAAAGAAGCAAUUGCUUCACUACUUGAUGAUCCCGCGUUGUAUUAGCUAGUUGGUAGUGUAAAGGACUACCAAGGCGAUGAUACAUAGCCGACCUGAGAGGGUGAUCGGCCACACUGGGACUGAGACACGGCCCAGACUCCUACGGGAGGCAGCAGUAAGGAAUCUUCGGCAAUGGGGGCAACCCUGACCGAGCAACGCCGCGUGAGUGAAGAAGGUUUUCGGAUCGUAAAACUCUGUUGUUAGAGAAGAACGUUAAGUAGAGUGGAAAAUUACUUAAGUGACGGUAUCUAACCAUAAAGGGACGGCUAACUACGUGCCAGCAGCCA